rnacentral:tRNA from 1 species
GCGCCCGUAGCUCAGUUUGGAUAGAGUACCUGGCUACGAACCAGGAAGUCGAGGGUUCGAAUCCCUCCGGGCGCG